GACGAACGCUGGCGGCGUGCUUAACACAUGCAAGUCGAGCGGAAAGGCCACUUCGGUGGUACUCGAGCGGCGAACGGGUGAGUAACACGUGAGUAAUCUGCCCCUCACUUUGGGAUAGCCACCGGAAACGGUGAUUAAUACCGGAUAUGACCAUAUGUCGCAUGGCGUGUGGUGGAAAGUUUUUCGGUGAGGGAUGUGCUCGCGGCCUAUCAGCUUGAUGGUGAGGUAAUGGCUCACCAUGGCUUCGACGGGUAGCCGGCCUGAGAGGGUGACCGGUCACACUGGGACUGAGACACGGCCCAGACUCCUACGGGAGGCAGCAGUGGGGAAUAUUGGACAAUGGGCGGAAGCCUGAUCCAGCAACGCCGCGUGAGGGAUGACGGCCUUCGGGUUGUAAACCUCCUUCAGUACCGACGAAGCGCAAGUGACGGUAGGUACAGAAGAAGCACCGGCCAACUACGUG
rnacentral:rRNA from 1 species